AAGAGCACGACAUUGCUCACAUUGCUUCCAGUAUUGUUGCCCGCGUAUGCGGGCUUUUUUUG
rnacentral:antisense_RNA from 1 species